CAGACUUACAUACCUUCACUAGGACUGAGACUACACCACAGACUGACAUGCCUUCACUAGGACUGAGACUACACCACAGACCUACAUACAUUCACUAGGACUGAGACUACACCACAUCCUGACAUACAUUCACUAGGACUGAGACUACACCACAGACUGAUACUAGGACUGAGACUACACCACAGACUGAUACUAGGACUGAGACUACACUACAGACUGACAUACCUUCACUAGGACUGAGACUACACCACAGACUGAUACUAGGACUGCCAUUAAAUCUCCUGUUGAUCUAUACAUCUCUUUCUGUUUCCAUCCUUGUUCCCCCAUUUAUUUUGUGUCUCUCAGCUGCUCCUGCUAGUCAGACCCAACAAUCAGGACACGCUAGCAAACAUUGCACCGAAUCAGAGCACAUCAUCCAACAACAGGACCCAAUCAGAAUAUAGUACCCAACACCUUGGGCCAAUCGCUUGAACGUUACUCUCAGAACAACCAAUCAUAUUGCAGACUCCUAAACCCAACCACAUCCUAGACCUCGAGUCUACAAGUGCAGCGAUUGACCAAUCAGGGCUAAAUGUACUCUACUUGUGGUGAUGCUCCACAACUUGUCUUCUAUUUUAAAUCUCCUUUUCUACGGGGAAGAGGACUGUCUGAGGCACCGCCAUGUUUUCGCCACUCUCCAUUGUAGUCCUCUUGAGUGGCUUGUAGAUGGUCCAAUGUAGUCCUCUUGAGUGAUGGGCCAAUUUUAAACCCAACCUGAUCUCUUACCACCACAAUGCAGCACUUCUCUAUAUCCUCUUGGAGGGCUGAAAAGACUGUAUAAGCAUGAGUUGUAUAAUAUAGAAAGAACCCAAGCCCUCAUCUUCAGUGUUUUGCAGUAUGCAGGGAAGCACUAUGUGUAAUCAAUAUGAUGGAAGGGUCUGGGAAGAGCAUUAAAGGCUUUGCACAAAGGGUUGUUUUUUGACCAAGGACGUCUCUAAUUUUGGCGAGCUGAGUUUCCACCAUUUUGUUGCCUCUCAUUUGGCUCAUACAGAGCUGAGCGCUAAUGAAUGGGGAAGUGCGUAGCAGUAGGGGUCAGGGUUGGGGUCUUUCUAUUUCAAUUCCAGUCAAUUAAUUAAACCCAAUUCCAAAUUUUCUUUAAAAAGAUUGGUUUAAAAUUGUGUGAGUCACAGGUGUGUUUUUGACGGCUGUGUUUAAUUGUAAUGUGUUUUCUCUGGUUUACAUGUCGCUGAAUGUUUGCAGGUGGUGUCCUGUCUGUGCCUCAAGUGGAGUUUGAAGUAGAAUAUGGAAGUCAGUCAUCUGAUUGGCUUUGAGAAGGGCUGUCUUCUCCUCAGUAUAACUUACUGCUCUUUUGUUUUAAUGAUUCCAAGCUUAGAGCCUUAGUCCAAUGGCUGCAAAGCAUGGUUGGGGUCGAUUACAUUUUUCAAUUGUCGAUUUUAGAAUGCAAAUUCAUAAGUUAAAAUAUCCUGAUUUUUAAAAAAAAAAAAGUCAUUUUCAAUUUGACCCCUCAACCCUGCUGCAAACAGUUUCCUCUUCUCAUUUCAGAAAUCAUAUGACCCUGUUUGACUUACCAACUGAAAAGGAUUGAAUGUGAAAUGAACCUGUAUAUUCCUACCCUCUGCUGGAUAUGAGGAUGCACAGUUAUGUUGUGUUAGUCAGUCAUGAGUAUCAAUAUUGUGUACAUGUAGGGGUGUGUUUAUGUGGGAUGGGGGUGUGGACAUACUCCUCUCCCCCUAGACCCCGAUUCCUCCUAAGAGUGGGGUGGGAACUUGGGUACAGUCCAGUUUCUCUGGAGCCUCAUUGGGACUGUGAAUGUUCUUUAUUUCACUGUUGUGCUGUUGUCUACAAGUGUUCCAAUAAAGGCUACAACUUAGAGGCUGCAGUGUUUACAUUGAUAAUCAAGAUACAAAUGUCCAUCUUAUUUUCAAGUACUUUAUUUUCUUUAAAAAUAAAUGUCAAAUAUAUUAGCUGCAUUUGCCCUAGUUGGCCCGGUACCAUGGAACCAAUGGGGAAAGUCCCAGGGAAAGGCAGGAAAACAGUGUGUGACUUCCAGGGAAUACAGUCAGAACAAGCCACACUCAUCUCCUAUUGGUCAGUAGACCUUCCAAUAGUCUUUGACCGCUUUGUUUCUUUGUCUCUGAACAGAUGGAACACUGAUCUACAUAGUAGUUAUGACGACAACGGAAAUAUAGCUUUUGAUGACUUUUUGGGGCAGUUUUCAGUUGACAUGAUACUUUUUGAAAAGUGCAUCCUUCCUGCUCCCCCUCACUAAUCAGGAACCACUGUGUGUGUGUGUGUGUGUGUGUGUGUGUGAACUGUGCUAUCUGAGGGGGAGGGGGGGAGGGGGGUGUUGAACUGUGCAAGAAAUCUAUGAUUUCCUCAGAGGGGAAAAAGGAAUGAUGAAUGUUGAAAGUAUUCUAACAGGGCUUUGGUCACGGGGCAAUGACCCGUAGUCUGUUGCAGGGUCAGCCCAGGAACGUGGAUAUGAAGACACUGGUGUCCAGAUUGAGCGUGGCGUGCCACCAGCGGUCAGGGAAAUACAGCACCUAUCAGCAACACAAAGUCAGUGACAUUGGAGUGACAAGUCAUUAAUAUCUUCCUGCUUUGCCUUGGUAAGGCAAGAAAUAAUCUGAAUGCAGCCCAUCAUUCCAAUUCAGUGAAAACAAUUGCUCAAAAGUCAUGUUUGCCUCAAACGUAGUGACCCCAUGGUUGAUUAAAAAAUAUUAAAAGUGUUUAAAAUAUUCCAUAGUUGAAAUUUCAAAAAGAAAUAUGGCCUCAAAAGUAAAUUUAGCUCAUGUUAGUGACCCAUGGUUGAUAAAUGUGUUUAACAUUUCAUGGUGGAAAUUCCUCCAAAUGAUGACCCCUCUGAUUGUUAUCCUCAUUCUAUGUUGGAAAAUGCAUACAAC
ensembl:lncRNA